UACGGGGGGAGCAAGCGUUGUUCGGAUUUACUGGGCGUAAAGGGCGCGUAGGCGGCCACCGCAAGUCGACUGUGAAAUCUCCGGGCUUAACUCGGAAAGGUCAGCCCGAUACUGCGGGGCUAGAGUGCAGAAGGGGCAACUGGAAUUCUCGGUGUAGCGGUGAAAUGCGUAGAUAUCAGGAGGAACACCGGUGGCGAAGGCGGGUCUCUGGGCCGAUACUGACGCUGAGGAGCGAAAGCGUGGGGAGCGAACAGG
rnacentral:rRNA from 1 species